rnacentral:misc_RNA from 1 species
GCGAAAUCGCGCACCUAACUAAUGACUACAUAAUUUAGAACCCAACCUAAAGAUUGUAUAAAGUUACAGUUCUUCUAUAUCCUCAAGUGAAUCAAACUCUUCAUUAAUACGACGAAGUUCUUCAUCAUCAAUAGUAACUGUGCUAAACCAUUUAGGUUGAGAAUGACCCCAUGGCAUUAUUGGCGGGUCACUAGUUUUCAAACUCUGCUCAUUGGAUACCUCUGCAUCUUCUGGCUCUGUUUGCUUUUCUUUUUUAGGUUGGUUAAACAGCUGGGACUUCAUCUCCCAGCAAACUUUCAGGUCUUCCUCAUUUCGAGCUUUGUUCAACUUAUCCAUCAGAUCAGCGAAUGCCGCAACAUGCUCAGCUUCAGCGGUCUUGGCCUUUUUCUUUUUGCCAAGUGCAUCUAGAUCAUUAAGGUCAGUAGCAUUGUCACCUGCCUCCAACUUCCUCCCCUUCCUCAAUCCCUGAUCUAUGACAUAUUGCAUCCUCUUUCUGGUAUUCUCUAUUCUAACUGGAUCUGACCUAAGCUGUAGCUUCACCCGGUUCAUCAUUGCUUCAUUCUCAUCUUCUGUCGAACCAUCCUCAUUAUUCUCAUCCUCUGCAGAAUUCACUCCAAACACCUCUUCUAAUAGACCAAUAUUCUGCAUGUACCGAUCAAAAGCUUCAUUUUCA